UGCAUGUCUCAGUACAAACCAAAUUAAGGUGAAACCGCGAAAGGCUCAUUAAAUCAGUUAUGGUUCCUUAGAUCGUACCCACAUUUACUUGGAUAACUGUGGUAAUUCUAGAGCUAAUACAUGCAAAUAGAGCCUCGACCGGGAACGGAAGAGGCGCUUUUAUUAGAUCAAAACCAAUAGGUGGCGGGUCUCCGGGCUCGUCAUCGUACAAUUUGGUGACUCUGAAUAACUUUAAGCUGAUCGCACGGUCUCGUACCGGCGACGCAUCUUUCAAAUGUCUGCCUUAUCAACUGUCGAUGGUAGGUUCUGCGCCUACCAUGGUUGUUACGGGUAACGGGGAAUCAGGGUUCGAUUCCGGAGAGGGAGCCUGAGAAACGGCUACCACAUCCAAGGAAGGCAGCAGGCGCGCAAAUUACCCACUCCCAGCUCGGGGAGGUAGUGACGAAAAAUAACGAUACGGGACUCAUCCGAGGCCCCGUAAUCGGAAUGAGUACACUCUAAACCCUUUAACGAGGAUCAAUUGGAGGGCAAGUCUGGUGCCAGCAGCCGCGGUAAUUCCAGCUCCAAUAGCGUAUAUUAAAGUUGUUGCGGUUAAAAAGCUCGUAGUCGAAUUUGUGUCUCGCGCCGUCCGGUUCAUCGUUCGCGGUGUCAACUGGCGUGUCGCGAGACGUCCUGCCGGCGGGUCGUUCGCAAGAGCGGCCCAACUGACCCCGCCGCGGUGCUCUUCAUUGAGUGUCGAGGUGGGCCGGCACGUUUACUUUGAACAAACUAAGGUGCUUAAAGCAGGCUGAAAUUUUGCCAGAAUAUUUUAUGCAUGGAAUAAUGAAACAGGACCUCGAUUCUAUUUUGUUGGUUUUCUGAACCUCGAGGUAAUGA
rnacentral:rRNA from 1 species